rnacentral:rRNA from 1 species
UGCAACUCGGCUGCAUGAAGCUGGAAUCGCUAGUAAUCGCAGAUCAGAAUGCUGCGGUGAAUACGUUCCCGGGUCUUGUACACACCGCCCGUCACACCAUGGGAGUUGGGAAUGCCCGAAGUCAGUGACCCAACCGCAAGGAGGGAGCUGCCGAAGGCAGGCUUGAUAACUGGGGUGAAGUCGUAACAAGGUAGC